rnacentral:rRNA from 1 species
UACGAAGGGGGCUAGCGUUGCUCGGAAUUACUGGGCGUAAAGGGCGCGUAGGCGGCUUUGCAAGACAGAUGUGAAAUCCCCGGGCUCAACCUGGGAACUGCAUUUGUGACUGCAAGGCUAGAGUACGGCAGAGGGGGAUGGAAUUCCGCGUGUAGCAGUGAAAUGCGUAGAUAUGCGGAGGAACACCAAUGGCGAAGGCAAUCCCCUGGGCCUGUACUGACGCUCAUGCACGAAAGCGUGGGGAGCAAACAGG